CGUCAUACCGAUCUCAGGCUUGAAUCGCAGAGAUCACCAAAUGCCCCGGCGCUGUAGGAUGUGGNUGCGGUUGAUUAGGUUGACGGUGGGGUAACGGCCCACCGUGCCCAUAAUCAGUACAGGUUGUGAGAGCAAGAACCUGGAGACGGAAUCUGAGACAAGAUUCCGGGCCCUACGGGGCGCAGCAGGCGCGAAACCUUUACACUGCACGCACGUGCGAUAAGGGGACUCCGAGUGCGAGGGCAUAUCGUCCUCGCUUUCGUGUACCGUAGGGUGGUACACCAACAAGGGCUGGGCAAGACCGGUGCCAGCCGCCGCGGUAAUACCGGCAGCCCGAGUGAUGACCGAUCUUAUUGGGCCUAAAGCGUCCGUAGCUGGCUGCGCAAGUCCGUCGGGAAAUCCACUCGCCCAACGAGUGGGCGUCCGACGGAAACUGCACAGCUUGGGACCGGAAGGCUCGAAGGGUACGUUCGGGGUAGGAGUGAAAUCCCAUAAUCCCGCACGGACCACCGAUGGCGAAAGCACUUCGAGAAAACGGAUCCGACAGUGAGGGACAAAAGCCAGGGUCUCCAACCGGAUUAGAUACCCGGGUAGUCCUGGCCGUAAACAAUGUUCGCUAGGUAUGACACAGACUACGUGUCUCUGUUGUGCCGUAGGGAAGCCGAGAAGCGAACCGCCUGGGAAGUACGUCUGCAAGGAUGAAACUUAAAGGAAUUGGCGGGGGAGCACUACAACCGGAGGAGCCUGCGGUUUAAUUGGAUUC
rnacentral:rRNA from 1 species